UACGAAGGGGGCGAGCGUUGUUCGGAAUCACUGGGCGUAAAGGGCGCGUAGGCGGCCCUCUUAGUCGGCGUGUGAAAGCCCCGGGCUCAACCUGGGAACGGCGCGCGAAACGGGAGGGCUGGAGUUCGGGAGAGGAGAGUGGAAUUCCCAGUGUAGAGGUGAAAUUCGUAGAUAUUGGGAAGAACACCGGUGGCGAAGGCGGCUCUCGUGGACCGAGACUGACGCUGAGGCGCGAAAGC
rnacentral:rRNA from 1 species